CCAGUUGGAAACGAAGUAAUUGCCUCACAGCCUACUUUUCUAAGUAGGGAUGAGAACAAAAGUUUCAUGAUUGGGAAUGAAAAGAGCAAUACAUUUCCAGAAACAUCAAUAGUGAUACCUUCAAAGCAGGUAUCCAAAUGCAUGCUCAAAUCAUCUAUAAAGAUGGUGCAUUCUUCAUAGUUGAUUUGCAGAGCGAGCGUGGGACCUUCAUCGACCAUGGAGGAAGAAGAUCUCGGGUACCCCCAAAUGUUUCCACUCGUCUUUGUCCUUCCGAUGUCAUUGAGUUUGGUUCCGAUAAGAAGGCAGCGCUCCGGGUAAAGGUGACGAGAUCACAUCCAAAGUUGGCUGAGAAGGAACCUGGUGAAAUUCUUCAGGCAGUCUGAAAAUUCCUAAGCCCGUCAUUUGACGAAAUCAA